ACAAUCUCCUGUUGAAAUCAGGUCAGACCAGGCUGCUCAGGACUUUAUCCAGUCAGGCCUUGGAAACCUACUGGAGUUGAGACUACAAUAAACAUUUGUGAUGGACUUCAGUCCUGGUGAGGAAAAGCACAGUAAAGGUUUUAAGUAUUAAGGCAUUGUUUUAUUUGUAAGUACAGAAAAAUAUAAAAACUACAAAGAAACUUAUAUGUAUAUUACUGUUACAUAGGUGUAUUGUUAUAUACAUACUCUAUUACUGUAUGUCCCAUCAGAUCCAGAGAAUUUACUCAGUAUGUUAACAGUGGACACAGCUGACUGAACAGCUGGGGAGUUGAUUCACUUCAUCCACACAUCUCUUUUUGUGUCAUAAGGGCUGCUUAACUUAAUAAUAAGGAACUUAAACUUUCUAUUGCCAGAUGCAGCACAGCUGGUUGACUAUGCAGACAGGCUGCUGCCACACAGAUUCCUUGGGUGCCAGCACAGACUAUGGAUAGGAGGCUGGUUGUUGGGGCACUCACCUAUGGAGUGAGAGAGUUGAUCUGCAGUUUUUGUCACCCUGAACCAGCUUCGAUAGAAGAGACUAUGAUGAAUCUCAGAAUUCCUGACAAACUGUUGCACAGAACCCUCCUGAGAGGGGACAGCUCUGGAUUUAACCAGAUACACCUGAGUAAAAGGUCUGAUUUAGCCAUGUUUGGAUGAAAUGGCAGCUCUUUCUGCAUGACACUGAUGUGGCAGACAUCUCAGAGUGAAUGAAGAUGUUGUUACUUGCCAUGUUUGAGUGAUGUUAAUCGUGGCUGUGACUGUGCAGAGCAGCAGCAGUUUGCCUGCUCAGGUCUUUGCAGAUGCCAACCCAGUGCCUGGGUUAGACAUGGCAAAAGUGAGAAUGUAAAGAUCCGUGGUUGAGGUGAAUGGGUUAUGUCAAGCACUUCUUACCCUUCCAGUGAUUGAUUCUCAUACACACAGAGUUCCUGUGCAUUGCUCAACAGACGCUUUAAGUUGUUACAGAACGUUAGGUUCUCAUCCCUCCCUACUUGAGUGUGUCAUUUGAUUUAACCUCAGCUGGUUUCCGGUGCCUGAAAUCUGCGACACACUCCCUUUAGUGGGGGUCAGACACAAGAGUCUGCCUGGCUUAAUCUAGUUUCAGCAUCGAGGCUGAUAAGAAGGAGAAGAGUCACAACCAUUAUUCAGAAUAUGCAAGUUAAGAAAAAAAAAAUCAAUGUGAAGAGUCUGUUCUUCUCUCUAAUCAUUCUGAACAGGUGCUUAAUUUUACAUGUAGCAGGCUGGGUGUGUGUGAUGAUAGCUUUUCUAUAAUUAACAACCUUUUGGUAGCUCUUGUAAAAAGUUAUUCCAGAGGAAUCGGUAGAAGCCAGAGAAUGAUUUCUUUCAGUGCUGAGAAUGGUGAUAUUGUGGUGCUGCCUCUGUAGCCCUUCAAGCCUGGGAGCAUUUCAUCAGCAUUUCAGGAGGUGUGCUAUCAGAAGGACAGAAUUCAGGAAUACAUCAAGUGCUCAUUUAGGGCCCCAAAUACAAAGAGGAGCUACUUGCUUAACUGUAACUAGCAGAAACCAGCCCUUUUCUAAUGCUGAUUAAUUCUGGUGUCCCCCCAUCAGAGGGACUAAGUGAAUUCACCUCCCUCUUUUAUCCCUUCUCUUUCCAAGUAACCUCAGUCCUGACUAUUUUGUGGAACCUCCUGUGUUUAACCUCUCUGCUGUCACCUCAUAUUGAGGUGUGAGGUUUUUUCCCACUGAGCACCACAGUGAGUUGCAGAAAGAAAAGAAAAGUUUUCUAAGAGUCACUUUGCCAUGUGCCUGCAGGAGGACAAAGAACUGCCGCUGUGAAGCUUAUGGCAAGGAGUCAACUUCACUGCCAGACAUCACUAAUUAUCAGCUCUGUGAUCACUGAUGUAUUUAAACACCUGAGAUUCAAGCAACUUUAUACCACAGAUGUAUGUAUAUGUGUGGAGUGCACUGUACAAGAGGGCAUGACUUGGUGGUCCUCGGGUACAGCUCCAGGCUGGCUGGUGCAGCCACCCCGGUGAUGUGGUGCUUGAGGAGAGCCUCACUUCUUGAUGCAGGGGGGCUGGGCUUAUGCCACUAUGAGAUAUGAAAUAAUAUGAAAGCUUUGACAUUCCUGCAAGGCUGAUUGGCUGGGGUGCACUGGCACAGUAGGGUCAGCAUGUGCACACCUGCAGUCCGUGUUGUCCAUAACCCUCGAGGUUUUUAAUCUUUCCUGUGUCCAGAUGUUGUCCCAAUGUGUCCAAGACAAAGAUAUGCUGCUUAUGCACUUUCAGUACAAUGAUUUCUUAGUGCAGCUUAGUUUUCCAUUCCCUUUCAGCCUUCUUUACUUCAUCCUUUUCCACAGUGAUAUCUUUCUGUUGUCCAGUUAUUACAGUAUUUAUGUACUGAGAGCCCUUAAGUGGUGGCUUUCUGGACUAGGUGACUCUUGAGUCAGGCAUUGAACAAAGCAAGGAGAAACCUUCUGCCUUUAGGUCAGUUACUCUCAAUCCCAUGGUCUCCCAGUUUCUGGAUUCAGUUCAUCCAUGUAUCUUAUCUGGCUGCUGGAAAUUCUUCAACACCUGUACUUCUAGACAUCAUAGGGCAAGACCCUGCUAGCCUUAUAAUGGGGGGCACAUCCUAUCUCACAGGUCUCCAUCAGGCUAUUGCAGCAGUAAACUGCAGCAUGAGAUGGAACACCCACAUCUCUCCUGUCUUCUUCCUCUUCUUUGCUGCUGCUUUUUACUUAAGAAUAUAGUUUAUUUGGUAACUAACCUCUUUUAUUUACCUGUUUGAGACUUUAGAAAAAGAAAGGCUGCUUUUUCCUGGCAUGCAUUUGCUUGGUCAAUGCAUUUUUGCAAACUUGUAUGUGACUGGGUCUGUCUUGAGAAAAUCCCAUUUCUCAGUUGGCCAGCAGAGAGAGCAGUCAGCAUUCAGUGGAUGGGCAGGUCGGGACAGAGGUGAUCUCCUGCACACUCAGCCUUGUCAGUAGCUGUUACAGUUUAAAAAAAUAAUUCUGACAGCAUUGCAGAGGUGAUUUGUAUCUCACAAUGUUGUGGAUGAAGGGUUACCUGUUGCCCUUGCCUGCCUGAACCUGUAAGGUCAGUGCAAGUCCUUCCUGCACAUCAAGGGCUAUAUGCCAGCUUCCAAACCACCUGCCAGUUUUUGGGGGACAUUCACAAUCCCUACCAAAAUGGGUGUAUGACACCUUAGAAUGUCUGACCAAUUGCUUUGCUAUCAAUUUAUGGACUUUGGAGGCUAAACUUGGGUACCUGGGAUGCUGCAAACUGAUCUGGACUGUUGAGGAGGCAAAGGGACACCAGGGUGUCCCUGAUCGGGACAUUUUGACCUAUAUGGCCUCCUCAUACCCUCACUGUCCAGCUAGAGCCUCAUGUGUGCUCUGAAGCACCAUUGAUCUCCAAGCAUCUACAGUAAAAUGGCUAUCUCUAGGGUCUGGUUGUCUGACGUUUUUUGUUAGAACGCAUUUGGUCCAAGUUUUCUCAUUUUUCAUGUUUUUUUUCACCCAUCUUUUCAGGAAACAAGGGUUGUAGACUGAAUGACCUGAGAAAGCUGUACCAGGGAAUGGGAAUGAGGUGUGAAAGUCCCACUGUGUCUGUACAGUAGUCACAGUUACCUCCCACCAAGUGCCUUGCAGAACCAUUACCGAGACACUGUCGAUGACCCAGGGGGUGGCUGUCCCCUGUGCCUGGCACGAGCCACGCUGCUGGAGGGGAGGACCUGCAGAGCAUCAGUUCACGCAUCACCUGGCGGAGCAGAUGGCUCCAGGUCUGGUGGGGCUGCCCUCAUAUGACACCUUGGAUUCACAGGCUUGGAGAAUCUCACCUCCUCUCGAGGCGAAACCUGUCUGGACGUAAAACACACAUUCAGGAGUUGGCCCAUUUGAGGCCAAGGUUAAUGAAGUGUACCCAAAGAGGGACUGUCUGGAAACUUCUGCCCAGGUUUGUGCCACUUCCCUAUGGAGCUCUGGUCUCUGGGAAGGUUUUCAUUUGUGAUCCUGGAGUCAGAAGUAAAGCACUCUGUACAUAUGCAGUCUUUCAAUAAGUUAAGUGCAGCUGCAGUAGGGGUUCUGGAAAAUCUCUUCAGUUUGACCUAAGAUAAACAAAUAUGGUUGCUUAAGUAUCCUCAGUGUUUCCUUAUACUUACAGUAGGAAAUACCUUGGAUACUGAGGGCAGUUAAAACAAAUCUUACUUAGUUAUCUAAGGCCUCUGGCAAGUCCCUGAGUUUCUGAGCAAGUUAAGCCACUUCCUUGGCAUGAGGUGUACCAAGCUUCAUUUUAUAGUAAUAAAAACAAGCAUUAAGGGCC